rnacentral:rRNA from 1 species
AUCCCCUACGGGGGGCAGCAGUGAGGAAUAUUGGUCAAUGGGCGCGAGCCUGAACCAGCCAAGUAGCGUGAAGGAUGACUGCCCUACGGGUUGUAAACUUCUUUUAUAAAGGAAUAAAGUGAGGCACGUGUGCCUUUUUGUAUGUACUUUAUGAAUAAGGAUCGGCUAACUCCGUGCCAGCAGCCGCGGUAAUACGGAGGAUCCGAGCGUUAUCCGGAUUUAUUGGGUCUAAAGGGAGCGGAGAUGGGUUGUUAAGUCAGUUGUGAAUGUUUGCGGUUGAACCGUAA